GCUACAUCUACUCAUGUAAGCCUUAGUAAUCAAGCGGCUGGAUCAGAAGAAGUAGAACACCAGGCUCAUCACGGGCCUGCUGCAAUCGACCAGUGUCCCGUGUCUCUUGGAUAUACCUCUUCCGCGUGCAUAUACAGCCGUCAAGAUCAAUCAAUCUGGCUAAUAGGCUAUAAUUAGCAAGCAAGCUUAUCACGUGAGUUCUCCAGGGUCAAGGCAACGAAAGCCAGCUUCACACUACUUGUUAACAGCCGAAAGCAUAGGACAUGCCAAGACCAUCUGGAAACAACUAAUUUUACAAGACCUUGAUACAUGUAUUUCAUUUCUCUACCCAACAUCAUCAAACUCAAAAUUUUAUAAAGAGCAUCUACAGCCAUAGACAGCAAAUUUGACCCCUCAAACCUCCGCGAACGCACCCGAGCGCGUCUAUGGGCAUUGACUAGGCACGCCUCAUAUAUUUCCUGCCACGGCCGCGUCCCUCAUAUCCAAAACCCCAAACCCAUGCAACUCUACGUAAAGUGAACAAGAUCAGCACAUAGUUCAUCCCAUACAGUCGGAUCAUAGCUCGUCGCCCGACAAAAGGGUCAUGAUUCAUGCACGGACACUGCAAAUUCAUGUACAAACUAGUAAUAAAAACAUAAAUAAGACGUAGAUAAAACAUGGAAGGGCGGACGACAUCACCAUUUCCUCGCUGUCCCCUUCCCCUUGCGGUCAGCGGCGUGCCUGUGCCCCUCCUCCAUGUACGCGUCGGCCUGCGGCGGUGCAUCGUUGUCAGAGCUGGAGGUGUAGCCAUCCUUCAGGUCGGAGACAUCGGGGCGCGUUUGGCAUGUCAACAUCCGGAGCAGGUGGCCUGCUCCAUCGCAUGGCGGGCCACGUCCUUGUUUGCCUCGCACUCCGACAGCUCGAUGGUGAGCCGGAGCGCGUUGACAUUCUUGCAGCGAAAGCACCGCACAUUCGUUUCUGCCAUCGUGAGAGAGAGGCGGAGGUCCGACUCAAGGAGCGUCGGCUUGGGAUCCUCCUGCACGCUCACGCGUGUCAGGCUCACGGCCGGCGCCUCCCCCGCUGUCGCCUCGCGGCAGGCUGUCCGUGCCUCCGAUUAGGUAGAUCAAACCCAAGCCCAUUGCAAAUUUUGGUCUCCAGUGCCGGUCCAACUAGUUGGUAUGACGCCAUUAUGAGAUAUUCAUAAAGAUAGGUUUUCUAUUUUUUUAGUUGUCAUUUUGGUUGAAUAUAAUUGUAUAUAUAGUUUUGUAGUUGGCAAAGCCACAACAUGAAACAAAGGUACUACUAAAUCAACAAGGAUCUACAAAUGUACUGAAGUUGUAGUAUACUGCAACUAAGAUGUACCGGGAAGAAAUUGGUUACAAAGCUUCAGUAAUAGAUACAAGGUAUGCUAGUGUGCCACCAGGUUGAUGAGCAUAUUUAUGCCACCGAAAGUAGUAGGAUACACCGGGGCAUACACACUUAUAAAUAUGUAAAGACGUCAGAAUUAUAAGACAUGGAUGCACCCUAACUUAUGUAGUCUUGCCAUAAGGUUAUAUUUUGCGUCGAUAAAUUCAGUGAUUGUGCUUCUGUUUAUAAGUAAAAACACUAAAUAUGUUUUGAGGAUUAGGAGCCAUCAAAGGAAAAGCCAUUACCAUGUGUGAGAUCAUGCCGAUCAACCCUUUGAACUUAUGCUCUCUGACCACCACCAUGCCGACAUGGUAUCCCGAACACGCACUCGACACACCCUAUGGAGAGGUUAGAGCGUGUCGCAGUAGUCCUAGACAGUAUUUGUUCUGGAGGAAGCUCAGAGGUUGGCGGCGGUGUUAUGGUGGCUCUCGAGAAAGAGCGUGACCAUCUCCGACGUUUAGACAACGGCGAAAGAAUGCAUGGAUCCAAACUAAAGCCGCAUCACUGUUGGAUACACACAGGAGAAGAACACACAGAGUCUCAUGUACACGCACUUGUGAUAAUCUCAUGUUCACUCUACACCAAAAAUAAACAACAUGUUUACAGAGCUUUAUAACACAGCUCAUGCACACACACGGCCAAGCCUAACAGUCUGAUCCACUAAUAUUGGUCCACUACCCGCACUAGCAUCCAUAGCUUAAGUCACUUCCAAGUCCCUGGAGAUCAGAUCACUCGCUGCAUGCCGCAACUAACUGCGCGGGCUUACAUCUCCAUGUCAAUAUCCUCUCUCGCACCCUCAUCUAGUCAGCCCCGAUCCCCGCUCCCAACCCCCGCCACUACAACAAAAUAGGUAUGUAGGGACGUUUUUGUGUCCACGCUUUUAUCAACGUCUCAUUAUUCAAAAUCACUUAGUGCAUAGGGACGAUUUCUGAGGCGCAAAGGACAUCGUCCUUGGUUCCCAUAGAAAAAAAGGAUUCUGGUGGUUGAAAAUAUCUUGCGCCACCAGCCCACCACCACCACCCUAAUCCCCCAUCGUGCGAGAUGGCCCAAGAAAGUAACUACCAUGGAAAAAGGGUGCGAUCUCUGGCCUCUAAAACUAGCGCCGCCAUGCCACACCGCCGCUCUCUGCCAAGAUCCUGCUCCUCCUCACCCCAGACUCGCUGUAGCAGGUCCACCCCCUCGCCCGUCGGCCGCCAACAGUAGGCUCGGGGACCCCGGCCUCCAGGCGGUGGCCCAGCCCCACUCCGGCGGCCUCGACCUGCAGCUCCGGCACACGAUGCACUCCGGCUGAAAGGGAAGAUGGCGGGUGGCGGAGUGGGCAACGGAACUGGACAUCGCCAUCUCCUCCUAGUGAGAUCGUAGCGAGAUACGACCCGACAGGAAGGUAGAAGAGGAACAAGAUUGACGAGGAGGACGAAAGGUAUUGAUCAGUUAGGCGCUCGUUUAUUUGUAUGUUCGCUGUCCUUCUCUUCAGACUUUGAUUCAGAUCCACCUUUCUGUAUGUAGCUGUUUUAUUUGUUCGCCCACGGCAACAAUGCCAUCAGAGACUUAAUUAGUUUAUAUAAUCUUCGGGGGGAAAUUGUAUGCCCCGGUGACGACUCCUACCUGGCCCUCCAUUUGCUCGCUCGGCAUCCUCUAUCUCUAAGAACCCGAUGUCUUGCGACCAAAAAAAAUCCAACAAGCGUCCUCGCCAUGUGAAGCUCGUUUCCAUCAGGUAGGCUGACCUCGUGCUUGACACUGUCGACCAGCAGCAAGGCGGCAAAUUCAUUUAUAUGUGAGUCGAUCUACUUUUUUGUUUUAGUUUUUCUAUCAAUUCAUUCCAAAUAAAAAAUUGGAGCCGCUCCCUUGAUGCGUACUUAGUUGUGGAGGAGAAACUUGACAUUGUACAUUAGAUUAUCCUAUUAAGAUAGGACAACACUGCUUUGCCGGGUUUUUUUUCUGAACUCUCGUCUGUUUACUAAUUAAACAUGUAGACUUCCACUUCAAUUUACACUACUACUUCAAUUUACAUAUAGCUUUUUUCGUUGUUUACUCCCAAAUUAUUGGCACUCACAUAUGCAGGUGCUUCAUAAAAAGCCUCUGAUAAUAUCCUGAUUGAAUAGGAUGGUCAGUGUUCUUAACACAUUUUUCUUUUUCAUGUAGUUAAUAAUAGUUGUGUAUCAACUGUCAAAUCACCUUCACCCCCUCCACUCCCAUAACUAAAAUUAAGAGCUUUGCGCCCACGUUCUAACAUUUCUUAGAAUUAACAUGGCUUCUACUCUAAACAGAGAGAUCAACUCACACAUGCAGUUUCUCACCUGUAGAAACUUUUCUCAAGUUGUCAGAUAAAGAGCACCGUGGAUGGAUAUAUUAUCAUGUUUGUAUGUAUCUAUACUUCAUAUGGGCACAUGAAAUCUACACGGCAAGAUUGAACUUCUGCAGUGCAUGUUUACUCGAUGUGAAAAUCUUCUAUGUGCGGAAUUUGAAGGCAGUUGCCACAAGGAUAAGCUAGAGAAGCAGAGAAAACAAGGAGCCAUUGUUCCAUUAUCAACAUGUAGAAACUAAAAAUCAUAUAGAUAUGUUUCACCUAGUUUGCGCAUGUAAUUGUUAAUAGGAGAUGUGUACAAUUGAGUUUGUAAACUACUACUACUCUGAGUAAUACAAUGUU